rnacentral:rRNA from 1 species
UACGUAGGCAGCGAGCGUUGUUCGGAAUUACUGGGCGUAAAGGGUGUGUAGGCGGUUGCUUAAGUUUGGUGUGAAAUCUCCCGGCUCAACUGGGAGGGUGCGCCGAAUACUGAGUGACUCGAGUGCGGGAGAGGAAAGUGGAAUUCCUGGUGUAGCGGUGAAAUGCGUAGAUAUCAGGAGGAACACCGGUGGUGUAGACGGCUUUCUGGACCGUAACUGACGCUGAAACACGAAAGCGUGGGUAGCAAACAGG